GCCCAAGUAGCUCAGGGGUAGAGCGCAUCCUUGGUAAGUAUGAGGUCACGGGUUCAAUCCCCGUCUUGGGCU
rnacentral:tRNA from 1 species